AUUUGGUGAGAUGGGGCUUCCUGAUGCAGAUGUUUGGAAGCUCCACUGUAGUCUCUGCCUCAAAGAGAGAACAACAAAAAGUGUCCUGUCUUUUGUACCUGUCUUUUGGCUACCCAGAGUUCCAACUUGACAUGGGAUCUGGCUGCAGCUGGCCCAACAGACAGCAUCAUUCUACCUGUGAGAUUAAUGUUCAGUGCUGUGGAAAGGAUUUUGACAAUUAUACCUGGACCUUUAGCAAGUAUUUGAUGCUAUUGUCACUCUGGCAUUUGCAAUUCUGUGAGCAGCAGCGAGCUGAGAUGUUGCAGUACAGUACUCCGAACCUCAAGUCUGGUUUAAGUAAUAGUUAAUAGCUACUGCAGAUUUACUUUACUCUUGAGCCAAGAAGGGAUGAAUGCUGGGAGCCAAAUCUGAAAGCUCGUCACAACCGUAUGAGAUGGAAAAGCAGUCUCUGCGACAUAUUGAUAGCUGUGGAUGACAGAUAUGAUAUUUAUUGCCACGGACAGUAAAAUUUAUAUACAUUAAAAAAAUGCAAACUUCGGCGAGCGAUGGGAAGCACUGACAGGAAACGCCUUAGAACAAAUUUCUGCAAGAAAAUGUGGCCGGAGGAAGCUGCUUCAGUGAAAAUGUUUUAUUUGUUCUGAUCCUGGGGGAAAAUGGUAGAGUACAAGAAAAGUCAACUUCUGAAAUAUCAUUUCCCUUUACCCAGUGAAAGUCACCUCAGCUCUGGUAAAUAAGGAGGAUGUUCUUCCCCGGAUAGCUUUGUAAUUAGCAAUGUUUAUGUACCAUCAGAGAAGAGAGCUAUUUAACUGAAAACUUUACUCCAGCUAAAUUAGAGUGUCCAAAAACAUUUGGGUUGCCCCUUUCUCUUGAUCAAAUAAAAUACUCUCUGUUAAAUAUUUAAUAUGUAUAUUGUUCUCCUCCUUUUCUGCAAUAUUAAUUUUAGUAUUUAAGAAACCCAGCAGAGUAUUAAGUGGAACUGUAGUUUUAUACAGUACAAGACUGAUA